CACCGGGGACGACCCCGGCGCCUACUCCCCCGCAGGGACGACCCU
rnacentral:ncRNA from 1 species